UCUAAUUUUAGUUAAUUAUGAUAAGCUUUCUAUGAAUGCCUGAUCUUCUCAACCCAAUAAGACAGAGAAAGAUACGUAUCUGUAUCUUUGGGCAGUUGCAAACUACAUUAAGGUGUCUAAACUACAGGAGACUAAACUAAAUAUAGAGGCAGAGCAAAAACCUUGCUAGUCAGUGCUGUCUGUAUUUAUGUGCAGUCAUAUGUGUGUGUCUGCGUGUCUGUGCGUGAGGUGUCUUUGUCUAUAUGAAUUUUAGGGUGUCUGUCUGCAUGGUCUCCGAGGUGAUGACUGUUGUGCUCACACCCACUUACACACCCACUCACGCUCCCACUAAUGCACGAGGCUGUUUGUUUUGACUGUGCUUGACAGUGAGUGAUGGCUGAUUGACAGCCUCAGCUGAUUUUUGUGCUACUAAAACUGCAGCCAUCCAGCUCCACACAAUUCAACCACUCUUUUUGCCAGUCUGCCACCACAGAGUUAGCAACAGUCUGCGUUUUGCCUCCCUCACUUCUCCAAGCCAGUCGCACUGCACUGCGGCAAGCAGGGGAAGCAGACACACACUCACCACUCCACUCCCAGAUUUUUUGGAAGGGGAGAGAAGAGGAGCAAGCAAAGCCUUGACAUAACUACGAUAUUUUUGCGCUUCUUGAUGGAGAGCUGCUGUAAAAUCCAGAAAUACCUUUCAAAAAUCUCUGUUUUCUUGCCUUGUGCUGAAAGUUGUUUCAAAGAGGCUCGGAGCAUCAUCCUGACAAAAGGAAUAUGCACAACUCAACCUGCCUGCCAAUAACGAGACACAAAAAGUGAGAGGAAAGAAAACGAAAUUUGGACCUAUGUGGUGGAUUUUGGAAGCGAACGAACACGCAACGUUCCAAGGGUCUUUUUCUUUUUUGGACGAGAUUAAGAAGGCAGGGGCAAUGCCAAAGGUUUUUUCCUGCCCUCUUUUAAAAAACAGUCUUGCAGCAGCUUGGGCUCUGGCUAUGCUCAAUCUCCACCUGCACGUUGCUAGGGAAAAAGCACUGGAAAUGUCUCCGCUAAUUCCAGGAUAUAGAUGCGGCCGGGCCUUAUAAUUGUGCAGCUCCUGCACUCUCCAUACGCAAUAUAAAUCAUAUCCAGUACAGCGGUAUCCAGCCAGGCGAGCAAGCUAUCCGGCAACCGGCUCCCAGCCCAGACAAAUUGCAUCCCCAGUGGAGGAGAAGAAGAGGCAGGAAACGAUGGGCUGAAUGACUGGCAAGGGAGAGAGAGGGAGAAAGGAGAGGGGAGCUUCCAGACAGAGUGACCUACAUUUAACAGUCUGGAGUUAAAGACAGAGGGAGAGGGAGAGAGAAAGAGAGAGACAGAGAGAAAUGUAUGAAGAAAAACAAGUCCUCAGGGAUCAGUGUUAAGGACAAGAGCAGGAAUUGCACUUGAAGGAGAGGAAAUGACAUGGGUAAUGGAAGAGGACACACAGGCAUCUGUCAAGGAAAAUCGAGGCUGGGAAGGGGGAGAAAAUGAUUUAUUCAUGAAAGAGAAUUACACUGCUUUCACCUUCUUGAAUAGGCUUGAUCAGAAUCCUAUAUUUCCUUUAACUCUUUAAAGAAAAAGGUGGUGGGGAGCACUUCUUCCAUCAGACUGUAAGAGCUUUUUAUGCACUGCUCAGACUUUUUUGGUUUAUAUUCAUUUUAUGGUUUCCAACACAUUUUAAACAAAUGCCACGCACAUUGCAUUCGUGAUGCGAGCUUCAUGAACGCACAAGUACAGCCAGCUCUUUCUGAUCUCUUUUGGUUUUGCUCACACAACAAAUUCCAACAUCACUGAAUUAUUUACUUAUACCUACAGUCAUAAAACAAAUGUUGCUAAUUUUAUUAGUAGGAUUUCUAGUUCACAUCUACUGUAAGUAACAAAAAAACAAUGGAAAUAUCCUAGAGAAGCAUUUACGAUUGUGUUUGUUAGCAUUCAUUCUUGCUCUCUCUCUGUACACGAGUCCAGGACAGAACACACUUUGCCCUGAGACAUGUGAAUUUAUAAAUAGAGUGUUAUUUCCCCUCAUUGGAGCACUCUGGCAGCUUAAAUAAUCACUAACAAGGCUUCUGCUUGCCUUGUAACCCUGACAGAUACUUGCCUUGUUUGACAAGCUUGUUUUUGCUACUGUGCUCUCUCUGUAUAUCAGUAUAAUAAGGUUGACCUUUGCAUAAACAUUCACACAAAGAAUCAGUAGCAUCCCCCAUUUUCUAUACCCUCGUCUUCCCACAUCAUAUAUGACAGGUCCAUUAUUUGUAAAUGGCAACUACACAGCACAUCUCUUGCUUUAAGCCACUUAGAGUAAAUCACAUCUGUCGGCAAUGGUGUUUUCUGUCUCUGUCAAAAUUGCCUACUACUAAAUGUACUUAUAUUUUUUCCUCUGUUGUUCUCACUUUUAUCUUGUUUCCUAUUGAAACCUGGUUUGUAAAUGUCUCUAAAAUCCCAAGGGAGAUGAAAAAAGCCUUCAUGGCUGGCACUACUUCAACAUUGCCUAGUCUAUUAUUAGCCAAGUACAUGGUGGACAAUGCUAGUUGUCAGUAACAGUCAUAAAAGUGCUGCAGAAUUGGAGAUUUUAUGCAGGACUUCAACGCCAGGAAGCAAAUGCACUCUGCUCCAUGGUCCUUAAUGUAACCGCCAUCUAUUUGAUGUCAGUGAGGAGUCUUGGUUCUCGGCAGGUUUUGUUUUAAAUGUGCUUCAAAUAGUAUAGUGAUUUUUUUUAUAACUCAAAUACAGUUUAUUUUUUAAACAUAGUAAUUUUAGCUAAAUAUAAAUACAGAUAUAUGAAUAUAUUCCUAAUAAUAGAGGCAUUUAACAAGUAAAUGUGUUGUAGUGUUGCUGAAUCUGGUUUCUAAAUGAAUGUGUGCUAUGUUUCUCUUUAGUGUUGCUUUGUGUUUGACCCAUAAAGUAAAUUCCAAAGGUGGUAGAUGUGCUGGAAAAUAAUCCACAUCCAUGGUGAUGUAAGACUUUUUAGCAACAACUACGUUCAACAAAUGCCACAUUUCUGUUUCAAUAGACCAUUAGACGCUAAAUACUAAAAAAAAACGCAUUCAUUCUAAAUAUCAUUUAACAUUUUUAUUUCUUUAAUACAAAUGGUAAUGAGAAUUUUGAAAAACCCAGGCUUGUAGUCUUAACGCUCUCAUCAGUGCCAUGACACUCGUCCUCCUUGUGGUUUAUUUCUAAUGUCACAUUGAGUCUGAAUUAAUGGAAAUAACCGGCACACCAGGAGGUAAUGUUGGCACAGUAAUGCUCAUGGAUCAACCGGUGAACUGACCGCAUAGCAUUACAUUAAUCAAGGAAAAAAUGUUUUUGCCUCUUAUAAGUCACGUCCUUCACAUUAAGCUUCCUCACUGUGUCUAAUACAGUUUUGUCCUCAGUAGGCGGAAAAAGUGCUAUAUUAUUCCUCAUUAUAUUCUUUUUUGUUGUCUCAGUCAUCUGCUUCCAAGACAGCACUGUUCCCUUUUCAUUAACUCUUCCUGCUCAGAUGCAUUAGAGCCGACUGUUCUAAUUAUUAUAUGAAAUGUUAGGCCUUAAUAAGACAACAAGGCAAUAAAGACUAAAUAACAGGAAGUAUCCUUAAACUAUUUGAAUGAAGAACAAAUUGUUCACCUUUCUCCUGCUGACUUGUAGUUAUAUCUGAUGUGUGAAAGGAGGAAAGUUAACAUAUACUGUUGUGAUGGAUUGUGAUGUAGUCAGUUUGACUAUCGGCUCUGAAGUCUGUCUGAUGCAUUAAGCUAAGCAAAAGGCAUUUCUUUCAAAUGAUUCAUCUAAUUUCCUCCUUUCUUACUGACUUCCACAAAUAAUGGCAAGCGAAUCACUUUGAUGCUGUUAUGUCGUUUAUAUUUUAAUACAGCUGGUCAUCUUUGGUUAACAGCCAGUAAAUCCAGCAAGGCAAACACUAAAUGAUCAGGUAACAGGUAAGUGGUUGUACACUAAGUUUUCUGUAAGUAUAUUUCAAAAGAACUGUACAAGGCAGCUAUUUGUGAAAAAUAUGAUUAAAAUUAUUUUUCAAAACGCUGAUUUUGUGACGUCUUUCUGCUUCUGCACAUGAUGACAGAAAUACAGAAAAUAAAAUCACUUCCAAAGUAAGCACAAGAUUUGUGAUGUGUGUAGAGCUCCUCUGU